AACGUGCUCCGGGGUCGGUGAGAAUCCGAACCGGCGGUGAAAGUCCGCGAGCCGGAUCCUGCUGUUUGGGUUCCGGUUGAGCUGGUGAAAUUCCAGCACCGACGGUUAAAGUCCGGAUGGGAGGCGCACGGA
rfam:Cryobacterium arcticum strain PAMC 27867 chromosome 1, complete sequence.